rnacentral:rRNA from 1 species
AGUGAACGCUGGCGGUAGGCCUAACACAUGCAAGUCGAACGGCAGCACAGUAAGAGCUUGCUCUUACGGGUGGCGAGUGGCGGACGGGUGAGGAAUACAUCGGAAUCUACUUUUUCGUGGGGGAUAACGUAGGGAAACUUACGCUAAUACCGCAUACGACCUACGGGUGAAAGCAGGGGAUCUUCGGACCUUGCGCGAUUGAAUGAGCCGAUGUCGGAUUAGCUAGUUGGCGGGGUAAAGGCCCACCAAGGCGACGAUCCGUAGCUGGUCUGAGAGGAUGAUCAGCCACACUGGAACUGAGACACGGUCCAGACUCCUACGGGAGGCAGCAGUGGGGAAUAUUGGACAAUGGGCGAAAGCCUGAUCCAGCCAUACCGCGUGGGUGAAGAAGGCCUUCGGGUUGUAAAGCCCUUUUGUUGGGAAAGAAAAACAGCAGGUUAAUACCCCGCUGUUCUGACGGUACCCAAAGAAUAAGCACCGGCUAACUUCGUG